rnacentral:misc_RNA from 1 species
GCCCGAGAUGCUAUCGUCGCCCGUGCCGCCGAAGAUGAAAUCCUCGCCGUCGUCGCCGAACAAAGAGUCGUUCGCCCCCAGGAUGGGAUCGACGCUUUCGACGCGAGAAAUGUGGCUGUCUGUGGCGCGGUGUACGCUCGCUCCGUCGCCGAAUGCGACAUCGUCGCCGGCGCCUCCGUGCACUUCGUCCGAACCGUAGGCGCCGGCCGCGCCUUCGCCGGCGUCCGCAUCUGGACAAUCGGGCAGGGGCGGGAGAACCCAACCAAGAUCGCCGGAUACGAUAUCGCCGACGAGCACGUCGUCGUCCUCCUCUCCGAAGAUCACGUCCCCGUCUGCGCCGCCCGACACAAGAUCGUCACCGAAGCCGCCAUGCAGCGUGUCCGCAUCGUUACCGCCGAG